GAUGAACGCUGGCGGCGUGCCUAACACAUGCAAGUCGAACGGAAAGACGAUGAUCUUGCUCCGCUCACGUUAGCGGCGCGGGGGUGUGACACAUGUGUAUAACCUACCUGUAUGACGGGGAAAAACUCGGGAAACGGGAUCUUAUCCCGGAUGAUCUCCUGAAGCGCAGUGUGGGGUAGUGAAAGACGGCUUUGCGGUCAGUUAUCGAUGGUUCCGGGCCGUAUUAGCUGGUUGGUACGGUAACGGCUUACCAAGGCGACCAUGCGUAGACGAGCGGAGAGGGUGAUAGGCCACACUGGAACGGAGACACGGACAAGACUACUGCGGGACGCAGCAGUAGGGAACGUUCGGCAAUGGGCGAAAGCCUGACGCAGCAAGGGCGCGUGUGUGACGAAGGCCUUCGGUGCGUAAAGCCCUGUUUUGAGGUAAGAACAGCUUUCGACUGAAACGUGGCGUGAGUGACGGUACCGGAUGAAAAAGCACCGGCUAACUACGUG
rnacentral:rRNA from 1 species